AGAGUUUGAUCCUGGCUCAGGACGAACGCUGGCGGCGUGCCUAAUACAUGCAAGUCGAGCGAAUCAUUAGGAGCUUGCUCCUGAUGAUUAGCGGCGGACGGGUGAGUAACACGUGGGCAACCUGCCUGUAAGACUGGGAUAACACCGGGAAACCGGUGCUAAUACCGGAUAAUUCUUUUCCUCUCAUGAGGAAAAGCUGAAAGUCGGUUUCGGCUGACACUUACAGAUGGGCCCGCGGCGCAUUAGCUAGUUGGUGAGGUAACGGCUCACCAAGGCGACGAUGCGUAGCCGACCUGAGAGGGUGAUCGGCCACACUGGGAUUGAGACACGGCCCAGACUCCUACGGGAGGCAGCAGUAGGGAAUCUUCCGCAAUGGACGAAAGUCUGACGGAGCAACGCCGCGUGAGUGAUGAAGGCCUUCGGGUCGUAAAACUCUGUUGUUAGGGAAGAACAAGUACCGGAGUAACUGCCGGUACCUUGACGGUACCUAACCAGAAAGCCACGGCUAACUACGUGCCAGCAGCCGCGGUAAUACGUAGGUGGCAAGCGUUGUCCGGAAUUAUUGGGCGUAAAGCGCGCGCAGGCGGUCCUUUAAGUCUGAUGUGAAAGCCCACGGCUCAACCGUGGAGGGUCAUUGGAAACUGGGGGACUUGAGUGCAGAAGAGGAAAGCGGAAUUCCACGUGUAGCGGUGAAAUGCGUAGAGAUGUGGAGGAACACCAGUGGCGAAGGCGGCUUUCUGGUCUGUAACUGACGCUGAGGCGCGAAAGCGUGGGGAGCAAACAGGAUUAGAUACCCUGGUAGUCCACGCCGUAAACGAUGAGUGCUAAGUGUUAGAGGGUUUCCGCCCUUUAGUGCUGCAGCUAACGCAUUAAGCACUCCGCCUGGGGAGUACGGCCGCAAGGCUGAAACUCAAAUGAAUUGACGG
rnacentral:rRNA from 1 species